rnacentral:snoRNA from 1 species
AAGACUAUACUUCACAGGAUCAUUUCUGUAGUCAGUCUUCAUAUAUUUCUAUCGCAAGAUAGUAAUAGCCCAACCCGCGAUGAAGAGUUAUAUCGUUUUACCUUGAGCGUGAGGUUAUGAACUUUGUCUUUUGGUUUACUCCGUUUGGUGUAAAUUGUGGAUAAUGUUUCUUCGAUGAUCGCUUAUCUUCUAAGGGUAAAACGAUUUCAGAGUGGU